rnacentral:rRNA from 1 species
AAGGAUCAUUACUGAGUGAGGGCCCUCUGGGUCCAACCUCCCACCCGUGUUUAUUGUACCUUGUUGCUUCGGUGCGCCCGCCUCACGGCCGCCGGGGGGCUUCUGCCCCCGGGUCCGCGCGCACCGGAGACACUAUUGAACUCUGUCUGAAGAUUGCAGUCUGAGCAUAAACUAAAUAAGUUAAAACUUUCAACAACGGAUCUCUUGGUUCCGGCAUCGAUGAAGAACGCAGCGAAAUGCGAUAACUAAUGUGAAUUGCAGAAUUCAGUGAAUCAUCGAGUCUUUGAACGCACAUUGCGCCCCCUGGUAUUCCGGGGGGCAUGCCUGUCCGAGCGUCAUUGCUGCCCUCAAGCACGGCUUGUGUGUUGGGCUCCGUCCCCCCGGGGACGGGUCCGAAAGGCAGCGGCGGCACCGAGUCCGGUCCUCGAGCGUAUGGGGCUUUGUCACCCGCUCUGUAGGCCCGGCCGGCGCCAGCCGACAACCAAUCAUCCUUUUUUCAGGUUGACCUCGGAUCAGGUAGGGAUACCCGCUGAACUUAAGCAUAUCAAUAAGCGGAGGA